CGAUUUCCUUAUUUCUUUUGAACAUUUUCACCCAGAUUUCUUGGAUCUGUGUAAGAAAUUAGUUUGGAAACAGACUAAUUUCAAUAUCUACUCACAUUUCUGAACACAUUGUAGACACAUAAUUCUAAAUUAAA